GACCAAACUGCCAAGAAGAAAGACAAGAUGAAAACUGGGUCUACGUCGACACAGUUAGAAACAAAAUGUCCAGAAAUCACACACGGAGAGGUCAUUGUGGACAGGAAGAGUUUAUUCCAGGGUCACGCUGCCAAAGUUCAUAACAUAGAUGACCUUAAUGCCGUGUUAGCGAAAUUAAGAACAAUUAAAAAAAACUACAAAAAGCAAAACACAACAUGUACG
rnacentral:misc_RNA from 1 species